rnacentral:lncRNA from 1 species
CUGUACACGGUAUCCUGCUUUGUUAAAAAGCUAAGCGAUCGACGUUUGAUAUAUGUGCCUGCCAAUUCCCGCAUAAACAAGCAAUAUCUCCAUCCAUCCACACGAGCGCGGCCACAGAGGCACACACCGAUCGCUCCCUAGUGCGCGCGCCGGUGAAAUCCCAUGUAUCCUUCCGUCUCCGGAGACAGAUCCGUCAAAAGUUGGCGACGGAUCCGCCGAAAAGAUCCCACGGACCGAUCAAAAGGUGACGGCGAGAUCGGAUGAUGAACCAAUCAUGCAUGGCGGCCGGCGCGCCCUGCCGUUUUUCCGGCGAUCAGGUGUCACUCGCCUAUUACCUCGACCCGGAGCCGGCGAGUUCAACUCGUACGAGCACGAGGUCGAGGUGCAUGCAUGGAGCGUGACGGGGACGCGGCCGGCCGGGUCGCUGGCGGUGGCGGGCGAGGUGGCUCGCCGGCUUUCGGCGUAGUGGCGGGCGGGGAUGGCAUGCAGCAGGGCUGUCCGUCGGUAGGUCGGCGACGGUGAGGUGGCGCGGGGA